CCUACGGGAGGCAGCAGUGAGGAAUAUUGGUCAAUGGGCGUAAGCCUGAACCAGCCAAGUCGCGUGAGGGAUGAAGGUUCUAUGGAUCGUAAACCUCUUUUAUAAGGGAAUAAAGUGUGGGACGUGUCCUAUUUUGUAUGUACCUUAUGAAUAAGGAUCGGCUAACUCCGUGCCAGCAGCCGCGGUAAUACGGGGGAUCCGAGCGUUAUCCGGGUUUAUUGGGUUUAAAGGGUGCGUCGGCGGCCUUUUAAGUCAACGGUGAAAGUCUGUGGCUCAACCCUAGAAUUGCCGUUGAAAAUGGGGGGCUUGAGUAUGUUUGAGGCAGGCGGAAUGCGUGGUGUAGCGGUGAAAUGCUUAGAUAUCACGCAGAACUCCGAUUGCGAAGGCAGCAUGCCAAGCCAUGACUGACGCUGAUGCACGAAAGCGUGGGGAUCAAACAGGAUUAGAUACCCUUGUAGUC
rnacentral:rRNA from 1 species